rnacentral:lncRNA from 1 species
GUGACACAACAGUGCUGUGUGUGACACAACAGUGCUGAGUGUGACACAACAGUGCUGAGUGUGACACAACAGUGCAAUGUGUGACACAACAGUGCUGAGUGUGACACAACAGUGCUGAGUGUGACACAACAGUGCUGUGUGUGACACAACAGUGCUGUGUGUGACACAACAGUGCAAUGUGUGACACAACAGUGCUGAGUGUGACACAACAGUG